AAGUCGUAACAAGGUUUCCGUAGGUGAACCUGCGGAAGGAUCAUUCACAAUAAGUGUUCAAUGGCACUUUAAAAUCCAUUACCCACCUUGUGUGCACUGUAAGGAGGAGGCAGGGCUUUCUGCCUCUUUCAUUAUACAUACCACAAUCCUUCUAUCUUGUCUACUUUAUUCGAGUAUCAAAACUCUAAUACAACUUUCAACAACGGAUCUCUUGGCUCUC
rnacentral:misc_RNA from 1 species